rnacentral:rRNA from 1 species
GGGUUGUGAGGUUAAGCGACUAAGCGUACACGGUGGAUGCCCUGGCAGUCAGAGGCGAUGAAGGGCGUGCUAAUCUGCGAUAAGCGCCGGUAAGGUGAUAUGAACCGUUAUAACCGGCGAUACCCGAAUGGGGAAACCCAGUGUGAUUCGUCACACUAUCAUUAACUGAAUCCAUAGGUUAAUGAGGCGAACCGGGGGAACUGAAACAUCUAAGUACCCCGAGGAAAAGAAAUCAACCGAGAUUCCCCCAGUAGCGGCGAGCGAACGGGGAGGAGCCCAGAGCCUGAAUCAGCAUGUGUGUUAGUGGAAGCGUCUGGAAAGGCGCGCGAUACAGGGUGACAGCCCCGUACACAAAAGCGCAUGUGUUGUGAGCUCGAUGAGUAGGGCGGGACACGUGGUAUCCUGUCUGAAUAUGGGGGGACCAUCCUCCAAGGCUAAAUACUCCUGACUAACCGAUAGUGAACCAGUACCGUGAGGGAAAGGCGAAAAGAACCCCGGCGAGGGGAGUGAAAAAGAACCUGAAACCGUGUACGUACAAGCAGUGGGAGCACAGGUUUACCUGUGUGACUGCGUACCUUUUGUAUAAUGGGUCAGCGACUUAUAUUCUGUAGCAAGGUUAACCG